GAGACUUGUAAGGGGUGCGGGGGUAAUCCCAGCAACCGCGAUAGGAGAGAUCUUUGUUUUUUAACCAGUCAGGAGCAAGCUUGAUACUUUCUGGGGCCACAGGUUAGGAUCUUAUCAGACAAUAUGCCUGUGAUCCCAGCAACUUAGGAGGCUGAAACAGGAAGAACGCAAGUUCAAGGCCAGCCUGGGCAAUUUAACAAGACCCUGCCUCGAAGAAAAAAAAAGAUCCUAACAAAUGAGAAUUAACUCUGGGCUUAUAAAAUUAUUUAGCAGACACUAGGAGAGAUUCUCCCUAGCUAUCUAGGAAACAGCCUGUGGAGAGGAUGGGGUCUCUGGCAAGUGAUAGAAACAUGCAGGAAUUGUCCAUGGCCCCAUCCCUCCUGCAAGCCACUGGCUCAGCAUUGUAGUAAGAGACCAGGCAGAUCAACCACGGCUUGGAACUUAAUUAUGCAUCAGCUGGUUUCUUUAAUGUUUUCCUGGACCCAGUGGGUUAUUAAAUGUUUUACGUUUAAUCUGUACCUAUUGCAAGCAGACGUCCAGUCUGACUGCCCAGGAGGAGAACCAUUCCUCCAGAGUUCCAGCACUCCCUGUUCCCUGGCUGGCCCUUUGUUGGCACCAAAUAAAUAAUGAAUGGAUUGGGGGAGGGUGUCCUUUGACACAGAGCCGGUAGGAGAAACAAAUGAGAACCACAGAACUUUAGAGAUCAACUAGGGCAGUGGUUCUCAAACCUGAGCGUGCCUCGGAGGCUUCCGGAGCACAGAGGUGGGACUAGAAUCUCACCUCUUUCCCUCACGUCUCCAUACUUCAGCAGGUGUUUCCUGAGGUGAGAAUAGGCUCCCCUUCUCCCUCAUCCAUUCAUUCAUUCACAUCAGCACGGACUCAGGGAUUCUUUAAUGCUAGCAUCUCUCUUACUACCUGAAUCAGAUUUCUUUCUUCCAUGUGGCCCUGUCACUUACAAUACUAUUAAUUCAGAAUGACUUAUUAGUUUAUCUCUUUAAUUCAAAAACAAAAUGGACAUCCAGACAUGUGUGGUUUCACAGUGAGGGCACAUCCUGAGACAUGCAUCGUUAAUCAGUUUCAUCAUGGCUGACUACCGCAUACUGCCACCAGCCCACAGGGGAUGGAUAGUCCCUGGAAGUCACCUCUGGACUGCAGGAAAAGACAUGAUAAACACGAGACGCAUGAAACUGCUGUCAACAGAAUAUGGCCGACUGCUUGACGGUAAUUUUUUUUUUAUAAUGCAAAGAGCACACUCUAAAAUAAUGAUAAAAGCAUAGUAUAGGAACUAUGUAAACUAGUCACGGAAUUGUUUAUUAGUAAGACGUACUGAACGUAAUUGUACGUGCUAUGCUUUUAUAUGGCUGGUAGCACAGUAGGUCUGUUUACGCCAGCAUCACCACAAAACCCAAGUAAUGCCUCAUGCUGUGCCGGAGCCAUGGCUAUGAUGUCACUAGGUAAUAGGAACUUUCUAUUCCAUUGUAUCUUAUAGGGCCACCAUCCUAUUUGUGGUUCAUCACUGACUGAAAUAGUGUCGUGCAGCCCGUGGUUAUAUCUCUAAACAUCAUGUGAUUUUUUGAAAAAUAUAACAGUUUUUAAUUUUCC
rnacentral:lncRNA from 1 species